rnacentral:rRNA from 1 species
GGAUUUGUCGGUUGGUCGGGCUUCACUGUCCGCACUGGCCUGAUGGAUUCCUACCUUCUGAACAACCAGCAUGCUAUUAAGUUAGUGCGUUGGGGAAGCAGAGCUAUUACCUUGAAAAAAUUAGAGUGCUUAAAGCAGGCUUUUGCUUGAAUAGAUUAGCAUGGAAUAACGGAAUAGGACGGCAUGGUUCUAUUUUGUUGGUUUCUAGGAUCACCGUA